AUUGAACGCUGGCGGCAUGCUUUACACAUGCAAGUCGAACGGUAACAGGCCGCAAGGUGCUGACGAGUGGCGAGCGGGUGAGUAAUGCAUCGGAACGUGCCCAGUCGUGGGGGAUAACGCAGCGAAAGCUGUGCUAAUACCGCAUACGAUCUAUGGAUGAAAGCGGGGGACCGUAAGGCCUCGCGCGAUUGGAGCGGCCGAUGUCAGAUUAGGUAGUUGGUGGGGUAAAGGCCUACCAAGCCGACGACCUGUAGCUGGUCUGAGAGGACGACCAGCCACACUGGGACGGAGACACGGCACAGACUCCUACGGGAGGCAGAGGUGGGGAAUUUUGGACAAUGGGCGCAAGCCUGAUCCAGCCAUGCCGCGUGCAGGAAGAAGGCCUUCGGGUUGUAAACUGCUUUUGUGCGGAACGAAACGGCCUGGGUUAAUACCCUGGGCUAAUGACGGUACCGUAAGAAUAAGCACCGGCUAACUACGUGCCAGCCGCCGCCGUAACAC
rnacentral:rRNA from 1 species